rnacentral:tRNA from 1 species
GGUGGUAUAGCUCAAGUGGUAAAGCACCAGCCUUGAGCAGAAAAACAAACAAGUGAGAGCAUGAGGCCCUGAGUUCAAGCCUCAGUACCAACA